rnacentral:rRNA from 1 species
ACUCCUACGGGAGGCAGCAGUGGGGAAUAUUGCACAAUGGGCGCAAGCCUGAUGCAGCCAUGCCGCGUGUGUGAAGAAGGCCUUCGGGUUGUAAAGCACUUUCAGUUGUGAGGAAGGUGGUGUCGUUAAUAGCGGCAUCAUUUGACGUUAGCAACAGAAGAAGCACCGGCUAACUCCGUGCCAACAGCCGCGGUAAUACGGAGGGUGCGAGCGUUAAUCGGAAUUACUGGGCGUAAAGCGCAUGCAGGUGGUUUGUUAAGUCAGAUGUGAAAGCCCGGGGCUCAACCUCGGAACUGCAUUUGAAACUGGCAGACUAGAGUACUGUAGAGGGGGGUAGAAUUUCAGGUGUAGCGGUGAAAUGCGUAGAGAUCUGAAGGAAUACCGGUGGCGAAGGCGGCCCCCUGGACAGAUACUGACACUCAGAUGCGAAAGCGUGGGGAGCAAACAGGAUUAGAUACCCUGGUAGCACAGAG